rnacentral:rRNA from 1 species
GAAAGCCUGAUGCAGCCAUGCCGCGUGUAUGAAGAAGGCCUUCGGGUUGUAAAGUACUUUCAGUUGUGAGGAAGGGUGUGUAGUUAAUAGCUGCACAUCUUGACGUUAGCAACAGAAGAAGCACCGGCUAACUCCGUGCCAGCAGCCGCGGUAAUACGGAGGGUGCGAGCGUUAAUCGGAAUUACUGGGCGUAAAGCGCAUGCAGGUGGUUCAUUAAGUCAGAUGUGAAAGCCCGGGGCUCAACCUCGGAACUGCAUUUGAAACUGGUGAACUAGAGUGCUGUAGAGGGGGGUAGAAUUUCAGGUGUAGCGGUGAAAUGCGUAGAGAUCUGAAGGAAUACCAGUGGCGAAGGCGGACCCCUGGACAUACACUGACACUCAGAUGCGAAAGCGUGGGGAGCAAACAGGAUUAGAUACCCUGGUAGUCCACGCCGUAAACGAUGUCUACUUGGAGGUUGUGGCCUUGAGCCGUGGCUUUCGGAGCUAACGCGUUAAGUAGACCGCCUGGGGAGUACGGUCGCAAGAUUAAAACUCAAAUGAAUUGACGGGGGCCCCGCCCAACC